rnacentral:rRNA from 1 species
GAUGAACGCUGGCGGCGUGCCUAAUACAUGCAAGUCGAGCGAACAGACGAGGAGCUUGCUCCUCUGACGUUAGCGGCGGACGGGUGAGUAACACGUGGAUAACCUACCUAUAAGACUGGGAUAACUUCGGGAAACCGGAGCUAAUACCGGAUAACAUAUUGAACCGCAUGGUUCAAUAGUGAAAGACGGUUUUGCUGUCACUUAUAGAUGGAUCCGCGCCGCAUUAGCUAGUUGGUAAGGUAACGGCUUACCAAGGCAACGAUGCGUAGCCGACCUGAGGGGGUGAUCGGCCACACUGGAACUGAGACACGGUCCAGACUCCUACGGGAGGCAGCAGUAGGGAAUCUUCCGCAAUGGGCGAAAGCCUGACGGAGCAACGCCGCGUGAGUGAUGAAGGUCUUCGGAUCGUAAAACUCUGUUAUUAGGGAAGAACAAAUGUGUAAGUAACUAUGCACGUCUUGACGGUACCUAAUCAGAAAGCCACGGCUAACUACGUG